rnacentral:rRNA from 1 species
UGGGGAAUCAUGGUCAAUGGGCGAAAGCCUGAACCUGCGACGCCGCGUGAGUGAUGAAGGUCGUAAGAUCGUAAAACUCUUUUCAGGGAUCUUAAAGCCUGUCUGUCAACAACAGGCAGGUCUGACUCUCCCUGGAAGAAGCCCCAGCCAACUACGUGCCAGCAGCUGCGGUAAUACAUAGGGGGCGAGCGUUAUUCGGAAUUACUUGGUGUAAAGGGUAUGUAGGCGGCCCUUCAAGUCGCGUGUCAAAGUCCAGUGCUCAACGCUGGGUGUGCGCGCGAUACUGACGGGCUUGAGGGCUGGAGAGGUGAGCGGAAUUCCCGGUGUAGUGGUAAAAUACGUAGAGAUCGGGAGGAACACCAGCGGCGCAGGCGGCUCACUAGACAGUUUCUGACGCUAAGAUACGAAAGCGUGGGGAGCGAACA